rnacentral:rRNA from 1 species
CCUACGGGAGGCAGCAGUGGGGAAUAUUGGACAAUGGGCGAAAGCCUGAUCCAGCCAUGCCGCGUGUGUGAAGAAGGCCUUCGGGUUGUAAAGCACUUUCAGUGGGGAAGAAAGCCUUGGGGCUAAUACCCUCGAGGAAGGACAUCACCCACAGAAGAAGCACCGGCUAACUCCGUGCCAGCAGCCGCGGUAAUACGGAGGGUGCGAGCGUUAAUCGGAAUUACUGGGCGUAAAGCGCGCGUAGGCGGUCUGAUAAGCCGGUUGUGAAAGCCCCGGGCUCAACCUGGGAACGGCAUCCGGAACUGUCAGGCUAGAGUGCAGGAGAGGAAGGUAGAAUUCCCGGUGUAGCGGUGAAAUGCGUAGAGAUCGGGAGGGAUACCAGUGGCGAAGGCGGCCUUCUGGACUGACACUGACGCUGAGGUGCGAAAGCGUGGGUAGCAAACAGGAUUAGAUACCCGAGUAGUC